GACGAACGCUGGCGGCGUGCCUAAUACAUGCAAGUCGAGCGCAGGAAACUGACGGAACUCUUCGGAGGGAAGGCAGUGGAAUGAGCGGCGGACGGGUGAGUAACACGUAAGGAACCUGCCUCAAGGAUUGGGAUAACUCCGAGAAAUCGGAGCUAAUACCGGAUAGUUCAACGGACCGCAUGGUCCGCUGAUGAAAGGCGCUCCGGCGUCACCUUGAGAUGGCCUUGCGGUGCAUUAGCUAGUUGGUGGGGUAACGGCCCACCAAGGCGACGAUGCAUAGCCGACCUGAGAGGGUGAUCGGCCACACUGGGACUGAGACACGGCCCAGACUCCUACGGGAGGCAGCAGUAGGGAAUCUUCCACAAUGGACGAAAGUCUGAUGGAGCAACGCCGCGUGAGUGAUGAAGGUUUUCGGAUCGUAAAACUCUGUUGUAAGGGAAGAACACGUACGAGAGGGAAUGCUCGUACCUUGACGGUACCUUACGAGAAAGCCACGGCUAACUACGUGCCAGCCGCCGCCGUAAUAC
rnacentral:rRNA from 1 species